rnacentral:rRNA from 1 species
UACGUAGGGUGCGAGCGUUAAUCGGAAUUACUGGGCGUAAAGGGUGCGCAGGCGGCCGAGCAAGUCGAGUGUGAAAGCCCCGGGCUUAACUUGGGAAUUGCGCUCGAAACUACUUGGCUGGAGUGUGGCAGAGGAAGGUGGAAUUCCAGGUGUAGCGGUGAAAUGCGUAGAUAUUCGGAAGAACACCAGUGGCGAAGGCGACUCACUGGCCCGUUACUGACGCUGAGGCGCGAAAGCGUGGGGAGCAAACAGG